AUGUAUCCCUUGGACACUGUGAGAAGCAAGUUGGAUGUUGCCGAGGGUGACGUGAUCUCUCUGCUCCAAAAAUUCAAGGCACUUCAAGAGGAGCGGAUUUACACCUAUAAUCUAUUCCACGAGGGGCACGAAUUAUACCUUGCGUCCGCGCCCAACUAUAAUUUUCCUCAAUUCCACCAAAUGGUCCAUGACUCAUUCAUCAUGUAUCAUUGAACUCGAAGAGAGGAUUCAGACCGAUCGAUCCGGAACUCGCCUCAGUCAUCCAGCACUUGCAGGAAGCCGAGAAAACUAAGCUGCGAGUGACCGCCAGGAAACGACUCGCUGAACAGAGGCUCCAAGACAGCCCAGAAGUGAACCGUGGGACCGCAAAGACCUGCAUCGAACGCACGACUGGCCCGUGA